rnacentral:ncRNA from 1 species
AUAUAGAAGAAUUUAAUUUUGGUUCUGAUUGAACGUUUUUCAGUAGUUUUAAGACAUGCAAAUCAUUGUUUAUAAAAAGUUAAUAUUUAUUUAAAUAAAAAUAUUACUAAUAAAAAACAAGGUGUAAAGGUGAGUUAUAUAGAUUAGAUACCUUAUAGUCUUCUUAAUUAGAAGAUAAUUUAUUUCUUUAAUGAUUGUUGAUAAUUGUAUUACUUUAAUUUGUUUCAUUUAUCAUUAUCAUUAUAGAUACUUUAAUUUUAUAUUGUCAAUAAAGUUUUAUUUAAGGUAAGACAACCUUAAAUAUUUAAUAAUUUUAUUGAUAAUAUUUUAAUUAUUAGGAUAAGUAAAGAUAAUUAGCUAUUUAUUUUAAAAAGGAAAUUUUCUGCUAUAAGAUUCGAUCUAUUCUGUUUAAAGGUAGUUGGUAGAGUAAAAGCCUACCAAGCCUACGAUCAGAAGCCAUGUUUGAUAGAGCAAAUGGCCACAUUGGGAAUGAAAUGUCCCUAGUAGUGUACACUACCAGCAGUCAAGAAUAUUAGUCAAUGCUCGAAAGAGUGAACUAGCUAACUGAAAUCGCAUUUUUCGUGUCAUACGGUGAAAUGUGAUAAUGUAAGGGAAAAAAAUGAUGUUACCUUACUAUAAGUGUUGUCCAAAACUGGUGCCAGAAGACUCGGUAAGGCCAGAGACGCGAACGUUAGUCACAUUAACCAGGCGUAAAGGGUUUGUAGGCAGCUUAGGUAGUUUUAUUUUUAUUAUAGCUAUUAAAAAAAAAUAAAAUUAAUUUAAGAUAGAAUCAUAUUGAGGUUAAGCCGAAUAAUACUUAGAGUAGGGACUAAAUCCUAAAAUACUAGGUGGAAUACUAAUGGUGAAAGCUUUUUAUCUAAUAUUGAUCGACGCUGAGAAACGAAGGUGAGAAUAGGAAAUAGGAUUAGAGACCCAGAUACCUCUCACUGUCAACGAUGAAUGGUGGAUUGUUAGUUUUUUAAAACUAGUACCGAUGCUAACGCGAUAACCAUUCCGCCUUGAGAGUACGGUUGCAAAACUGAAACCAAAAAAAUUAGUCGGUCUCGAAGCAAACGAAGUGAAGCAUGUUAUUUAAUACGAGAGUACGCGUAAAACCUUACCAGUUCUUGAAUAGCCAUAUUAUUUAGAAAUUUAUCUAUUUUAUUAGAAUAUUUUACUAUAAUGAAUAUGAGAAGUUAUUUUAUUUUUUUAAUAACUCGUUUACAGGUGUUGCAUGGCUGUCGUCAGUCCGUGUUUUGAGAAGUAAGGUUAACUCCACUAACGGACGAAAUCCCUGCUGUAAAUUUAUACUUUACAGUUAAUGAAUUUUAAAUAUUUUCAUUUGGGGCUAAGACAAGUCGUUAUGGCCCUAAUGAACUGGGCUAUAGACGUGCCACAAGAACUUUUACAAAGUGAUGCAAAAACCAGACCUUUAAUUUUGUUGCAACCUGCUAUAAUCUUGUAGUAGGAAACUGCUUUACCAAAGCCUUUACCGGAGUCUCUAACAAGGGAUGCAGCAUAAAAAGCUGAUUUGCUUUAGCAGUAGUGCACAAAAUAUAUAUUUUUUUAAUGUAAUAGGGUCUUAAGGAAUAGCUAAUCAUUAAAGAAAGUUACUACUAUUAAAAUUUUAUAAGACGGAUUGUCGCCUGAAAUUCGGCGGCAUGAAGAAGGAAUUUCGAGUAAUCGUUGAUCACUAGCGCAACGGUGAAGAUUGCAUUCGUGAUGAACUAACUGUCUGUCACUGGGAAGGAAUUCGGAUAGGGGGAAAAUGCUGCUUAAUUAUUACUUUUCAAAGAUAGUAGUUUAAUUUUUUAUAGAAUUAUGUUCUAUUUUUUUAAAAAAAUAAACAUCUUUGUUAAGCUAAUUAGUAUCUUUUAACCCAUUUGAGUAACAUCUCAAAAGUCAUAGCAAGGUAGCUGUACUGGAAGGUGCUGCUGGAAAAUAAAAUAA